UACGUAGGGGGCUAGCGUUGCUCGGAAUCACUGGGCGUAAAGCGCACGUAGGCGGAUCUUUAAGUCAGGGGUGAAAUCCCGGAGCUCAACUCCGGAACUGCCUUUGAUACUGGAGAUCUUGAGUCCGGGAGAGGUGAGUGGAACUGCGAGUGUAGAGGUGAAAUUCGUAGAUAUUCGCAAGAACACCAGUGGCGAAGGCGGCUCACUGGCCCGGUACUGACGCUGAGGUGCGAAAGCGUGGGGAGCAAACAGG
rnacentral:rRNA from 1 species